CCUGGUUGAUCUUGCUGCUGUUUCUCAUCUGCUGUGUAUCCAGGGAGGCACUGGACAGCUGAAGGUGAUCAGAGCUGUCAGGCUGAAAUUAUUAGCAACUAGCUCUUGGUCAGCUCAGAAACAUGCCCGGAGGCUGCAGAUGCAGUCAAGAGGAGCCAAACCAGACCUUCCAACGCUUUGCUUAGAAAUUUCAGCUAAACAUCCAGUGUCGUCACUUGCAAGAUGGGCCUUCCACAGAACCCUGAAACAGGAACAUCGUUCAGCCAAGUUCUUUGCCACUUUACACUAAGGAUCACCUUUCCUCCAAUUUCCAAUGCUCUUUAGUUCCUUCUGAGACCUCAUCAGAACGGCCUUUACCAUCUGUAUUUCUACCAACAUUCUGUUCACCACCACUUACGUAUUCUCUAAGAUAUAGCUCUCCUCCUCUUCUGAGCCUUCACUCAAAUCACCUCUGAAGGUCCCUUCAAGGCCAUGUAGGCUUUUUCUAGCAUGCAUCUCAAAACUCUUCUGGCCUUUACCCAUUAUGUGGUUCCAAAGCCACUUUCACAUUUUUCGGUUUAUUACAGCAGUACCUACUUCUUGGUACCAAUUUCUGUCUUAGUCCACU